UACGUAGGGUGCAAGCGUUAAUCGGAAUUACUGGGCGUAAAGCGUGCGCAGGCGGUUGUGCAAGACAGAUGUGAAAUCCCCGGGCUUAACCUGGGAAUUGCAUUUGUGACUGUACGGCUAGAGUGUGUCAGAGGGGGGUAGAAUUCCACGUGUAGCAGUGAAAUGCGUAGAUAUGCGGAGGAACACCGAUGGCGAAGGCAAUCCCCUGGACCUGUACUGACGCUCAUGCACGAAAGCGUGGGGAGCAAACAGG
rnacentral:rRNA from 1 species